AACGAACGCUGGCGGCAGGCUUAACACAUGCAAGUCGAACGCCCCGCAAGGGGAGUGGCAGACGGGUGAGUAACACGUGGGAACGUGCCCUAAGGUUUGGAAUAUUCCCGGGAAACUGGGAGCAAUACCAAAUGUGUCCGUAAGGAUAAAGAUUUAUCGCCUGAGGAUCGGCCCGCGUCAGAUUAGGUAGUUGGUGGGGUAAAAGCCUACCAAGCCGACUAUCUGUAGAUGGUCGGAGAGGACGACCAGCCACACUGGGACUGAGACACGGCCCAAACUCCUACGGGAGGCAGCAGUGGGGAAUCUUGGACAAUGGGCGCAAGCCUGAUCCAGCCAUGCCGCGUGGAUGAUGAAGGCCCUAGGGUUGUAAAAUCCUUUCGUUGGGGACGAUAAUGACGGUACCCAAAGAAGAAGCUCCGGCUAACUUCGUGCCAGCCGCCGCAGUAACAC
rnacentral:rRNA from 1 species